rnacentral:rRNA from 1 species
UGGCGACCGGCGCACGGGUGCGUAACGCGUAUGCAACCUACCUGUAACAGGGGGAUAACACUGAGAAAUCGGUACUAAUACCGCAUAACACUAUGAGAGGCAUCUCUUGUGGUUGAAAGUUUCGGCGGUUACAGAUGGGCAUGCGUUGUAUUAGCUGGUUGGUAAGGUAACGGCUUACCAAGGCGACGAUACAUAGGGGGACUGAGAGGUUAACCCCCCACAUUGGAACUGAGACACGGUCCAAACUCCUACGGGAGGCAGCAG